GUGAAAAACAGGCUGGCCUAACGGCAGAAACACAACGUGAAAACCUCAUAAACACGCUGAAAGUUGCUCUAAACGCUUGCUUCCUGGAAAUUAUCGUAUUUUUACCACUUAUUUUUUUACAAGAAAGCUUCAUAAAGCAAGAAAAGCAGGCCUUGUAUGCGGAGUUUUCUUCAUUGGUUCGCUGGCUGUGUAGCGGCAUACAGACACCUGUUGUGAGGACAGCACAGUGGAUAUAUGGCAUGCAUACAGAAGGAACGUCAGAGGACAACGUUACAAACCAACAAGGAACUUGGCAGCUUGUUAAUCAAAGAUGGGGGAACAUGCAGACUCCACACAGAGAUGGCAAGGGGAGAAUCCAACCCAGGUCUUCCCCUCUCCUGACUGUGUGGCAGACAUGCUAACCACUCACCCACCAUGCGGCCCUGUGUACAGGUGGGUAGUACAUAUUAGGUAGUGGGUGAGUACACAUGGCGUGAGUACACAUGAGGACGAUGUAGCACAUGACCUUGGCUGAGGUCGUGUAUUACACUUUCAUUUAGUCAUUUUGAGGGCAGCACUCUUACGCGCCACCACCAAACCCCCCCCCCCCCCCCCCCCCAUCCCCCAGAGCCUGGGGCUGACAGCCAGCAAUUAGAAUUUCACCAUUAACUACCCUCGACCAUCAUUAACCGUUAAUUCAAUCUAAUCUAUCAGGAAUUGUGGACUAAACCUUGGAGGAAUACUACCUGCUACAAAGCUUCCAAGACCGUCUUGCCCUCAAAAUCUGCUUUUCUUAUCUUAAAAUAUCAACUUUGGCCAGGAAAAAAGCCGAAAGAAACAAACAAAUUGUUAUUAUAUUAUGUAGCCCCAACUUGUCCGUGUUGUGGUGUCCCCUUUUUAAGGGGGCCUGCAUGUAUGUAGUGCUGCCGUUAUACGGCUUCUUAACGCGGAAUUCUUUGCAAAUGACAGACGUUUUGUCGAGCGUUCCGCCUUUGUUUGAGAAUUCGUAGUUUCCAAACAUACAAUUUAAACGUUGUG